GUGCUCGCUUCGGCAGCACAUAUACUAAAAUUGGAACGAUACAAAGAAGGUUAGCAUGGCCCCUGCGCAAGGAUGACCCAAGACAGUUUUGGAAAUCCUUCUAAUCCAU